rnacentral:rRNA from 1 species
AUUGAACGCUGGCGGCAGGCUUAACACAUGCAAGUCGAGCGGGGAAAAGUAGCUUGCUACUGGACCUAGCGGCGGACGGGUGAGUAAUGCUUAGGAAUCUGCCUAUUAGUGGGGGACAACAUCUCGAGAGGGAUGCUAAUACCGCAUACGUCCUACGGGAGAAAGCAGGGGACCUUCGGGCCUUGCGCUAAUAGAUGAGCCUAAGUCGGAUUAGCUAGUUGGUGGGGUAAAGGCCUACCAAGGCGACGAUCUGUAGCGGGUCUGGGAGGAUGAUCCGCCACACUGGGACUGAGACACGGACCAGACUCCUACGGGAGGCAGCAGUGGGGAAUAUUGGACAAUGGGGGGAACCCUGAUCCAGCCAUGCCGCGUGUGUGAAGAAGGCCUUUUGGUUGUAAAGCACUUUAAGCGAGGAGGAGGCUACCGAGAUUAAUACUCUUGGAUAGUGGACGUUACUCGCAGAAUAAGCACCGGCUAACUCUGUGCCAGCAGCCGCGGUAAUAC